UUUAUGGAGAGUUUGAUCCUGGCUCAGGACGAACGCUGGCGGCGUGCCUAACACAUGCAAGUCGAACGGGGAGUUACUUGUAACUCCUAGUGGCGAACGGGUGAGUAACGCGUAGACAACCUGCCUCUAAAUU
rnacentral:ncRNA from 1 species